AAAUCGGGGCAGGGUGAGUCGACCCCUAAGGCGAGGCCGAAAGGCGUAGUCGAUGGGAAACAGGUUAAUAUUCCUGUACUUGGUGUUACUGCGAAGGGGGGACGGAGAAGGCUAUGUUGGCCGGGCGACGGUUGUCCCGGUUUAAGCGUGUAGGCUGGUUUUCCAGGCAAAUCCGGAAAAUCAAGGCUGAGGCGUGAUGACGAGGCACUACGGUGCUGAAGCAACAAAUGCCCUGCUUCCAGGAAAAGCCUCUAAGCAUCAGGUAACAUCAAAUCGUACCCCAAACCGACACAGGUGGUCAGGUAGAGAAUACCAAGGCGCUUGAGAGAACUCGGGUGAAGGAACUAGGCAAAAUGGUGCCGUAACUUCGGGAGAAGGCACGCUGAUAUGUAGGUGAAGCGACUUGCUCGUGGAGCUGAAAUCAGUCGAAGAUACCAGCUGGCUGCAACUGUUUAUUAAAAACACAGCACUGUGCAAACACGAAAGUGGACGUAUACGGUGUGACGCCUCCCCGGUGCCGGAAGGUUAAUUGAUGGGGUUAGCGCAAGCGAAGCUCUUGAUCGAAGCCCCGGUAAACGGCGGCCGUAACAAUAACGGUCCUAAGGUAGCGAAAUUCCUUGUCGGGUAAGUUCCGACCUGCACGAAUGGCGUAAUGAUGGCCAGGCUGUCUCCACCCGAGACUCAGUGAAAUUGAACUCGCUGUGAAGAUGCAGUGUACCCGCGGCAAGACCGAAAGACCCCGUGAACCUUUACUAUAGCUUGACACUGAACAUUGAGCCUUGAUGUGUAGGAUAGGUGGGAGGCUUUGAAGUGUGGACGCCAGUCUGCAUGGAGCCGACCUUGAAAUACCACCCUUUAAUGUUUGAUGUUCUAACGUUGACCCGUAAUCCGGGUUGCGGACAGUGUCUGGUGGGUAGUUUGACUGGGGCGGUCUCCUCCUAAAGAGUAACGGAGGAGCACGAAGGUUGGCUAAUCCUGGUCGGACAUCAGGAGGUUAGUGCAAUGGCAUAAGCCAGCUUGACUGCGAGCGUGACGGCGCGAGCAGGUGCGAAAGCAGGUCAUAGUGAUCCGGUGGUUCUGAAUGGAAGGGCCAUCGCUCAACGGAUAAAAGGUACUCCGGGGAUAACAGGCUGAUACCGCCCAAGAGUUCGUAUCGACGGCGGUGUUUGGCACCUCGAUGUCGGCUCAUCACAUCCUGGGGCUGAAGUAGGUCCCAAGGGUAUGGCUGUUCGCCAUUUAAAGUGGUACGCGAGCUGGGUUUAGAACGUCGUGAGACAGUUCGGUCCCUAUCUGCCGUGGGCGCUGGAGAACUGAGGGGGGCUGCUCCUAGUACGAGAGGACCGGAGUGGACGCAUCACUGGUGUUCGGGUUGUCAUGCCAAUGGCACUGCCCGGUAGCUAAAUGCGGAAGAGAUAAGUGCUGAAAGCAUCUAAGCACGAAACUUGCCCCGAGAUGAGUUCUCCCUGACUCCUUGAGAGUCCUGAAGGAACGUUGAAGACGACGACGUUGAUAGGCCGGGUGUGUAAGCGCAGCGAUGCGUUGAGCUAACCGGUACUAAUGAACCGUGAGGCUUAACCU
rnacentral:rRNA from 1 species